rnacentral:rRNA from 1 species
GAAUUGCGAUAAGUAAUGUGAAUUGCAGAUUUCCAGUGAAUCAUCGAAUCUUUGAACGCACCUUGCGCUCCUUGGUAUUCCAAGGAGCAUGCCUGUUUGAGUGUCAUUGAAUUCUCAACCAUCUCUUGAUUGAUUUCAAGAUCUUGGCUUGGAGUUGGGACUUGCUGGCACACGUCAGCUCUCCUGAAAUUCAUUAGCAAUGGCAGCUUGCUAGUCUUUUGACGUGCACGGCCUUUUGACGUGAUAAUGAUCGUCAUGGCUGGAGCGUCAUACUUAUUUGGAUUAUGCAUGAAUGGCCCAUGGCUUAUAAUGUUAUAUUAGUUUUCACUCGUCUCGAAAGCAAUGCCAAGUUUUAGUUACUAGUCAGUUCACAAGGCUGGCGAACACAGAGCAAGGUUUUGUCUGGACUCGGACUUGUGUUUCUAAUUUUAUUCUAAACUUGACCUCAAAUCAGGCAGGACUACCCGCUGAACUUAA